GUGCACUGUACCUUUAUUAGGUCCGAUUAUAUCUUCCUCCUGACUUUAGUGAGACUAAACGAUAUCCUCUGGUUAUUAACGUGUACGGAGGACCUAAUUCUCAGCAGGUGAAUGAUAGGUUUAAGCUGGACUGGGGAACCUACCUGACAACUAGCGAGCAGGUCAUCUACGGUCUCAUUGAUGGCCGAGGAUCAGGGUUUAAGGGAGACGAUAUGCUGAACGAGAUCAAAUACAACAUCGGGAAGGUUGAGGUGGAAGAUCAGAUAGAUGUUACAAAUCAGCUCAUCAAUCUGUAUCCUUUCAUUGGUAGGUCUAUAUUCUUUCAUUGGUAGG